rnacentral:rRNA from 1 species
UAACAAGGAUUCCCCUAGUAACUGCGAGUGAAGCGGGAAAAGCUCAAAUUUAAAAUCUGGUAGCCUUUGGUUGCCCGAGUUGUAGUCUGGAGAAGCGUCUUCCGCGCUGGACCGUGUACAAGUCUCUUGGAACAGAGCGUCAUAGAGGGUGAGAAUCCCGUCUUUGACACGGACUACCAGUGCUUUGUGAUGCGCUCUCAAAGAGUCGAGUUGUUUGGGAAUGCAGCUCAAAAUGGGUGGUAAAUUCCAUCUAAAGCUAAAUAUUGGCGAGAGACCGAUAGCGAACAAGUACCGUGAGGGAAAGAUGAAAAGCACUUUGGAAAGAGAGUUAAACAGUACGUGAAAUUGCUGAAAGGGAAACGCUUGAAGUCAGUCGCGUCGUCCAGAACUCAACCUGGCUUUCGCUUGGUGCACUUUCUGGUUGACGGGCCAACAUCAGUUUUGACUGUCGGAAAAAGUCCUUUGGAAUGUGGCACCUUCGGGUGUGUUAUAGCCUUUGGUCGUACGCGAUGGUUGGGACUGAGGACCGCAGCACGCCUUUUGGCCGGGGUUCGCCCACGUACGUGCUUAGGAUGUUGGCGU